rnacentral:rRNA from 1 species
GGAUCAGUGGCGAACGGGUGAGUAACACGUGAGUAACCUGCCCCCGACUCUGGGAUAACUGCUAGAAAUGGUAGCUAAUACCGGAUAUGACGAUUGGCCGCAUGGUCUGGUCGUGGAAAGAAUUUCGGUUGGGGAUGGACUCGCGGCCUAUCAGGUUGUUGGUGAGGUAAUGGCUCACCAAGCCUACGACGGGUAGCCGGCCUGAGAGGGUGACCGGCCACACUGGGACUGAGACACGGCCCAGACUCCUACGGGAGGCAGCAGUGGGGAAUAUUGCACAAUGGGCGAAAGCCUGAUGCAGCAACGCCGCGUGAGGGAUGACGGCCUUCGGGUUGUAAACCUCUUUUAGUAGGGAAGAAGCGAAAGUGACGGUACC